rnacentral:rRNA from 1 species
UCGAGAAUCUUCCGCAAUGGGCGAAAGCCUGACGGAGCGACGCCGCGUGCGGGAUGAAGGCCCUUGGGUUGUAAACCGCUGUCAGGGGGGAUGAAAGCCGCAAGGCUUGACAGAGCCCCAGAGGAAGCACGGGCUAAGUUCGUGCCAGCAGCCGCGGUAAGACGAACUGUGCGAACGUUAUUCGGAAUCACUGGGCUUACAGGGUGCGUAGGCGGCUUGUUAAGUAGGGUGUGAAAUCCCCCGGCCCAACCGGGGAAUGGCGCUCUAAACUAGCAGGCUUGAGUGAGCUAGGGGUGCACGGAACUUCCAGUGGAGCGGUGAAAUGUGUUGAUAUUGGAAGGAACACCGGAGGCGAAAGCGGUGCACUGGGGCUUAACUGACGCUGAGGCACGAAAGCCAGGGGAGCGAACGGGAUUAGAUACCCCCGUAGUCC